CACGUAGGGGGCAAGCGUUGUCCGGAUUUAUUGGGCGUAAAGAGCUCGUAGGCGGCUCAGUAAGUCGGGUGUGAAACCUCCAGGCUCAACCUGGAGACGCCACCCGAUACUGCUGUGGCUUGAGUCCGGUAGGGGAGCGUGGAAUUCCUGGUGUAGCGGUGAAAUGCGCAGAUAUCAGGAGGAACACCGGUGGCGAAGGCGGUUCUCUGGGCAUGAUCUGACGCUGAGGAGCGAAAGUGUGGGGAGCGAACAGG
rnacentral:rRNA from 1 species